UACAGAGGUCCCAAGCGUUGUCCGGAAUCACUGGGCGUAAAGGGCGCGUAGGCGGCUCAUGAAGGCUGUGGUGAAAGUCCGGGGCUCAACCUCGGAUCGGCCGUGGCGACUCGUGGGCUGGAGCACUGUAGAGGCGGGUGGAAUUCCGGGUGUAGCGGUGGAAUGCGUAGAGAUCCGGAAGAACACCAGUGGCGAAGGCGGCCCGCUGGGCAGUGGCUGACGCUGAAGCGCGACAGCGUGGGGAGCAAACAGG
rnacentral:rRNA from 1 species